rnacentral:misc_RNA from 1 species
UCGUGGGGAUUCGUCCCCUCUAGAUAGACACCCUUUGUUUAUGAGUACCAAUUGUUUCCUCGGCGGGCUUGCCCGCCGGUGGACAUCCAAAACCCUUUGUAGUAGCAGUAUCUUCAGUUAAAAAACAAAUAUUA